rnacentral:rRNA from 1 species
GAUGAACGCUGGCGGCGUGCCUAAUACAUGCAAGUCGAGCGAACGGACGAGAAGCUUGCUUCUCUGAUGUUAGCGGCGGACGGGUGAGUAACACGUGGAUAACCUACCUAUAAGACUGGGAUAUCUUCGGGAAACCGGCGCUAAUACCGGAUGAUAUUUUGAACCGCAUGGUUCAAAAGUGAAAGACGGUCUUGCUGUCACUUAUAGAUGGAUCCGCGCUGCAUUAGCUAGUUGGUAAGGUAACGGCUUACCAAGGCAACGAUGCAUAGCCGACCUGAGAGGGUGAUCGGCCACACUGGAACUGAGACACGGUCCAGACUCCUACGGGAAGCAGCAGUAGGGAAUCUUCCGCAAUGGGCGAAAGCCUGACGGAGCAACGCCGCGUGAGUGAUGAAGGUCUUCGGAUCGUAAAACUCGGUUAUUAGGGAAGAACAUAUGUGUAAGUAACUGUGCACAUCUUGACGGUACCUAAUCAGAAAGCCACGGCUAACUACGUG